rnacentral:rRNA from 1 species
UACGGAGGGUGCAAGCGUUAUCCGGAUUUACUGGGUUUAAAGGGUGCGUAGGCGGCCUGUUAAGUCGAACGUGAAAUCCCCGGGCUCCAACCCGGGAACUGCGUCCGAUACUGGCAGGCUUGAAUCCGGGAGAGGGAUGCGGAAUUCCAGGUGUAGCGGUGAAAUGCGUAGAUAUUUGGAGGAAUACCGGUGGCGAAGGCGGCCUUCUGGGCCAUUCUUGACGCUGAGACACGAA